CACUUUCUUCCCAACACUUGGGGGUAGUGAGGGUGUUGGGCAGGUGCCCACUGAGCCCCCCACUCACCUUGGCAAGAGGGGGCAACAGUACCAGGAGGCCAGCCUGACUCAGCAAGGGGUAUCGAAAGCCUGCCAGCUUCCCUGGUCCCAGUGCCUACAUGGCUUCAGCUCCAGAGGGUCUGGGCUCCAGGUUGCCCUGAAGAUCAAGGCCCCGUGCCUCUCAUUCUGCCCACUCCUGAGAUUCUUCCUGAAAUGACCGCUGCGGGGCCAGUCACAGCAUGAGGGCCAGAGGCCCACAAGCCCACAAGCUGGGGAUCCCAGGGCCAGGGUUUCCCUCAAGUUUGCUGAAAUCAGAAGACCUGGCCUGCAGGAGACCCCAGUCCCCCCCUGUGAAUCAGGAAAAGUUUUGCAUUUGCCAUUCGGGGACAAGCUCUGCUGGGAGAUGCUUCUAGAGACGCUGGCCUGUGCCAAUCUGUGAAGGCUCCGAGUGUUCUGUUUGGUGGAAAAGUUGCAACUGAAAAAGCAGAGAGUUGUUGUUUUUUCUUUAAAAAUGUUUUUUGUUUGCAAUCUGUGUCUCUUUUAAGUGCCACAUGCUGGAGAUGUCCUAAAAUUCAGAAAUUAAACAAGUGGGGAAAUCCCA